rnacentral:tRNA from 4 species
GCCCCCGUAGCUCAGUGGAUAGAGCGCAGGCCUCCGGAGCCUGGUGCGCAGGUUCGAUUCCUGCCGGGGGCGCCA